UGUUUCGGCUAGGGGGCCAUCCCGGCUUACCAACCCGAUGCAAACUGCGAAUACCGGAGAAUGUUAUCACGGGAGACACACGGCGGGUGCUAACGUCCGUCGUGAAGAGGGAAACAACCCAGACCGCCAGCUAAGGUCCCAAAGUCAUGGUUAAGUGGGAAACGAUGUGGGAAGGCCCAGACAGCCAGGAUGUUGGCUUAGAAGCAGCCAUCAUUUAAAGAAAGCGUAAUAGCUCACUGGUCGAGUCGGCCUGCGCGGAAGAUGUAACGGGGCUAAACCAUGCACCGAAGCUGCGGCAGCGAACGUAUCACUUAAAGCGAUUCAGCGGGUUACGAUUGACGGAGCGAAGCGACGUCAAAGCGUAUACAAAGUCGAGUCGGUUUAAGGAUACGUUCGUUGGGUAGGGGAGCGUUCUGUAAGCCUGUGAAGGUGGCCUGUGAGGGUUGCUGGAGGUAUCAGAAGUGCGAAUGCUGACAUAAGUAACGAUAAAGCGGGUGAAAAGCCCGCUCGCCGGAAGACCAAGGGUUCCUGUCCAACGUUAAUCGGGGCAGGGUGAGUCGACCCCUAAGGCGAGGCCGAAAGGCGUAGUCGAUGGGAAACGGGUUAAUAUUCCCGUACUUGGUGUUACUGCGAAGGGGGGACGGAGAAGGCUAUGUUGGCCGGGCGACGGUUGUCCCGGUUUAAGCGUGUAGGCUGGUUUUCCAGGCAAAUCCGGAAAAUCA
rnacentral:rRNA from 1 species